UUUUAAUUUUUCUCCAUAGUGCUGCAGCUGUGGGGAGCGCCUGGCAGCCCUGGGGGUUUCGGGAUGAGCCGGAGGCGCAGGGGAGAUGCGGAGAAGCCCCGAGGCCACAGACUUUGGUAUGAAAGCAGCUGGGAUCCCGACCUUCCCGCAGCGCUUUCCUCACCUGGAGGCAUUUUUUUUCCUCCCCUCGUGCAGCGUUGGCUCCGCAAACCGUAAGCCUGCUCCGCAAGCCUGCUCGUGCUCCCAGCGCCGAAUUUUUGGGGGAUUAUUAUUUUCCAGUGGCUCUUAUACAACGGCGGAGGAAGCCUGCAGGGUUUCCACCGCCCCUCGCCAGCGCCGCGCGUGCUGGUUUGGGCACGCCUGCGACAGCGUGGAUGCGCCUGGGGGUGUAGGGAGCAAACAGGAUCCACCAGGAGACUUUGGGUGAAAAAAAAACCCCGAAUGGUGACGAAUUUGUGCGUUAUGCUCUCUAUAUAACUGCAUUCUUUUAAACUU